CACAUCAGUGGUUUUGCAGCAAAUGCUAUAUCCAUCCAAUAUUAUGUGCUUUUAACAUUUUAAAAGAUUAUUUAUGACUAAU